rnacentral:rRNA from 1 species
GACGAACGCUGGCGGCGUGCCUAAUACAUGCAAGUAGAACGCACAGUUUAUACCGUAGCUUGCUACACCAUAGACUGUGAGUUGCGAACGGGUGAGUAACGCGUAGGUAACCUGCCUGGUAGCGGGGGAUAACUAUUGGAAACGAUAGCUAAUACCGCAUAAUAUUGAUUAUUGCAUGAUAAUUGAUUGAAAGAUGCUAUUGCAUCACUACCAGAUGGACCUGCGUUGUAUUAGCUAGUAGGUGAGGUAACGGCUCACCUAGGCGACGAUACAUAGCCGACCUGAGAGGGUGAUCGGCCAAACUGGGACUGGGACACGGCCCAGACUCCUACGGGAGGCAGCAGUAGGGAAUCUUCGGCAAUGGACGAAAGUCUGACCGAGCAACGCCGCGUGAGUGAAGAAGGGUUUCGGAUCGUAAAGCUCUGUUGAAAGAGAAGAACGGGUGUGAGAGUGGAAAGUUCACACUGUGACGGUAUCUUACCAGAAAGGGACGGCUAACUACGUG